rnacentral:rRNA from 1 species
GGUUAAGCGACUAAGCGUACACGGUGGAUGCCCUGGCAGUCAGAGGCGAUGAAGGACGUGCUAAUCUGCGAAAAGCGUCGGUAAGGUGAUAUGAACCGUUACAGCCGGCGAUGUCCGAAUGGGGAAACCCAGUGUGAUUCGUCACACUAUCGUUAACUGAAUACAUAGGUUAACGAGGCGAACCGGGGGAACUGAAACAUCUAAGUACCCCGAGGAAAAGAAAUCAACCGAGAUUCCCCCAGUAGCGGCGAGCGAACGGGGAGCAGCCCAGAGUCUGAAUCAGCUUGUGUGUUAGUGGAACGGUCUGGAAAGUCCGACGGUACAGGGUGAUAGUCCCGUACACCAAAAUGCACAGGCUGUGAACUCGAAGAGUAGGGCGGGACACGUGGUAUCCUGUCUGAAUAUGGGGGGACCAUCCUCCAAGGCUAAAUACUCCUGACUGACCGAUAGUGAACCAGUACCGUGAGGGAAAGGCGAAAAGAACCCCGGCGAGGGGAGUGAAAAAGAACCUGAAACCGUGUACGUACAAGCAGUGGGAGCACCUUCGGGUGUGACUGCGUACCUUUUGUAUAAUGGGUCAGCGACUUAUAUUCUGUAGCAAGGUUAACCGUAUAGGGGAGCCGCAGGGAAACCGAGUCUUAACUGGGCGUUAAGUUGCAGGGUAUAGACCCGAAACCCGGUGAUCUAGCCAUGGGCAGGUUGAAGGUUGGGUAACACUAACUGGAGGACCGAACCGACUAAUGUUGAAAAAUUAGCGGAUGACUUGUGGCUGGGGGUGAAAGGCCAAUCAAACCGGGAGAUAGCUGGUUCUCCCCGAAAGCUAUUUAGGUAGCGCCUCGUGAACUCAUCUUCGGGGGUAGAGCACUGUUUCGGCUAGGGGGUCAUCCCGACUUACCAACCCGAUGCAAACUACGAAUACCGAAGAAUGUUAUCACGGGAGACACACGGCGGGUGCUAACGUCCGUCGUGAAGAGGGAAACAACCCAGACCGCCAGCUAAGGUCCCAAAGUCACAGUUAAGUGGGAAACGAUGUGGGAAGGCACAGACAGCCAGGAUGUUGGCUUAGAAGCAGCCAUCAUUUAAAGAAAGCGUAAUAGCUCACUGGUCGAGUCGGCCUGCGCGGAAGAUGUAACGGGGCUAAACUGUGCACCGAAGCUGCGGCAGCGACACUAUGUGUUGUUGGGUAGGGGAGCGUUCUGUAAGCCUGCGAAGGUGGCCUGUGAGGGUUGCUGGAGGUAUCAGAAGUGCGAAUGCUGACAUAAGUAACGAUAAUGCGGGUGAAAAGCCCGCACGCCGGAAGACCAAGGGUUCCUGUCCAACGUUAAUCGGGGCAGGGUGAGUCGACCCCUAAGGCGAGGCCGAAAGGCGUAGUCGAUGGGAAACAGGUUAAUAUUCCUGUACUUGGUGUUACUGCGAAGGGGGGACGGAGAAGGCUAUGUUAGCCGGGCGACGGUUGUCCCGGUUUAAGCAUGUAGGCGGAGGUUCCAGGUAAAUCCGGUACCUUUUUAACGCUGAGGUGUGAUGACGAGGCACUACGGUGCUGAAGUAACAAAUGCCCUGCUUCCAGGAAAAGCCUCUAAGCAUCAGGUAACAUUAAAUCGUACCCCAAACCGACACAGGUGGUCAGGUAGAGAAUACCAAGGCGCUUGAGAGAACUCGGGUGAAGGAACUAGGCAAAAUGGUGCCGUAACUUCGGGAGAAGGCACGCUGAUAUGUAGGUGAAGCCCCUGCGGGUGGAGCUGAAAUCAGUCGAAGAUACCAGCUGGCUGCAACUGUUUAUUAAAAACACAGCACUGUGCAAACACGAAAGUGGACGUAUACGGUGUGACGCCUGCCCGGUGCCGGAAGGUUAAUUGAUGGGGUUAUCCGUAAGGAGAAGCUCUUGAUCGAAGCCCCGGUAAACGGCGGCCGUAACUAUAACGGUCCUAAGGUAGCGAAAUUCCUUGUCGGGUAAGUUCCGACCUGCACGAAUGGCGUAAUGAUGGCCAGGCUGUCUCCACCCGAGACUCAGUGAAAUUGAACUCGCUGUGAAGAUGCAGUGUACCCGCGGCAAGACGGAAAGACCCCGUGAACCUUUACUAUAGCUUGACACUGAACAUUGAGCCUUGAUGUGUAGGAUAGGUGGGAGGCUUUGAAGCGUGGACGCCAGUCUGCGUGGAGCCAACCUUGAAAUACCACCCUUUAAUGUUUGAUGUUCUAACGUUGGCCCCUGACCGGGGUUGCGGACAGUGUCUGGUGGGUAGUUUGACUGGGGCGGUCUCCUCCCAAAGAGUAACGGAGGAGCACGAAGGUUAGCUAAUCCUGGUCGGACAUCAGGAGGUUAGUGCAAUGGCAUAAGCUAGCUUGACUGCGAGCGUGACGGCGCGAGCAGGUGCGAAAGCAGGUCAUAGUGAUCCGGUGGUUCUGAAUGGAAGGGCCAUCGCUCAACGGAUAAAAGGUACUCCGGGGAUAACAGGCUGAUACCGCCCAAGAGUUCAUAUCGACGGCGGUGUUUGGCACCUCGAUGUCGGCUCAUCACAUCCUGGGGCUGAAGUAGGUCCCAAGGGUAUGGCUGUUCGCCAUUUAAAGUGGUACGCGAGCUGGGUUUAGAACGUCGUGAGACAGUUCGGUCCCUAUCUGCCGUGGGCGCUGGAGAAUUGAGGGGGGCUGCUCCUAGUACGAGAGGACCGGAGUGGACGCAUCACUGGUGUUCGGGUUGUCAUGCCAAUGGCAUUGCCCGGUAGCUAAAUGCGGAAGAGAUAAGUGCUGAAAGCAUCUAAGCACGAAACUUGCCCCGAGAUGAGUUCUCCCUGAGACUUUAAGUCUCCUGAAGGAACGUUAAAGACGAUGACGUUGAUAGGUCGGGUGUGUAAGCGUAGCGAUACGUUGAGCUAACCGAUACUAAUGAACCGUGAGGCUUAACCUU